GUAAUUUCUUAAGAGACAAUAGGAUAUUGAUAUGCCUCCAAAAGGAAAAUUUUCAACAUGUGCAUAUUACCAGUAAUGGCAUAUAGCUAUGAAACAUUGACCCUUACAAAAAAAAAUAGAACAGAAACUAGUUACAUCCUAAAGAAACAUAGAAAGAUAUAUAAGAUACAUGUUAGAAUUCACCGGAAAGGACUCAAAACCAACACAUGGAUAGGAGAACAAACCAAAAUAGCAGACAUACUGGUAGCAGUUAGAAGAAGUAAGUGGCAUUGAGCAGGCCACAUUGUGAGAUACACCAAUAACCAAUGGGCAAAAAAUUACAGAAUGGCAAUCAAAGCAAGGGAAAAGACAUCCUAACAGCAAUACAAAUGAUGGAGAGAUGAUAUAAAAAAAG
rnacentral:lncRNA from 1 species